CCUACGGGAGGCCGCAGUGAGGAAUAUUGGUCAAUGGGCGGAAGCCUGAACCAGCCAAGUCGCGUGCAGGAUGACGGCCCUUCGGGUUGUAAACUGCUUUUAUACGGGAAUAACGCGCCUUACGUGUAGGGCUUUGCCUGUCCCGUAUGAAUAAGGACCGGCUAAUUCCGUGCCAGCCGCCGCGGUAAUACGGCAGGUCCGGGCGUUAUCCGGAUUUAUUGGGUUUAAAGGGAGCGUAGGCCGCAUGUCAAGCGUGCUGUGAAAUGUCCGGGCUGAACCCGGGCCUUGCAGCGCGAACUGGCGUGCUUGAGUCCGCGGAAAGCAGGCGGAAUUCGUCGUGUAGCGGUGAAAUGCUUAGAUAUGACGAAGAACCCCGAGUGCGAAGGCAGCUUGCUGCAGCGGAACUGACGCUGAUGCUCGAAAGCGCGGGUAUCGAACAGGAUUAGAUACCCCUGUAGUC
rnacentral:rRNA from 1 species